rnacentral:rRNA from 1 species
AGACCCGAAACCCGGUGAUCUAGCCAUGGGCAGGUUGAAGGUUGGGUAACACUAACUGGAGGACCGAACCGACUAAUGUUGAAAAAUUAGCGGAUGACCUGUGGCUGGGGGUGAAAGGCCAAUCAAACCGGGAGAUAGCUGGUUCUCCCCGAAAGCUAUUUAGGUAGCGCCUCGUGAAUUCAUCUCCGGGGGUAGAGCACUGUUUCGGCUAGGGGGCCAUCCCGGCUUACCAACCCGAUGCAAACUGCGAAUACCGGAGAAUGUUAUCACGGGAGACACACGGCGGGUGCUAACGUCCGUCGUGAAGAGGGAAACAACCCAGACCGCCAGCUAAGGUCCCAAAGUCAUGGUUAAGUGGGAAACGAUGUGGGAAGGCCCAGACAGCCAGGAUGUUGGCUUAGAAGCAGCCAUCAUUUAAAGAAAGCGUAAUAGCUCACUGGUCGAGUCGGCCUGCGCGGAAGAUGUAACGGGGCUAAACCAUGCACCGAAGCUGCGGCAGCGACACUGUGUGUUGUUGGGUAGGGGAGCGUUCUGUAAGCCUGCGAAGGUGGCCUGUGAGGGUUGCUGGAGGUAUCAGAAGUGCGAAUGCUGACAUAAGUAACGAUAAAGCGGGUGAAAAGCCCGCUCGCCGGAAGACCAAGGGUUCCUGUCCAACGUUAAUCGGGGCAGGGUGAGUCGACCCCUAAGGCGAGGCCGAAAGGCGUAGUCGAUGGGAAACGGGUUAAUAUUCCCGUACUUGGUGUUACUGCGAAGGGGGGACGGAGAAGGCUAUGUUGGCCGGGCGACGGUUGUCCCGGUUUAAGCGUGUAGGUGUGUGUUCCAGGUAAAUCCGGUUCACUUUAACACUGAGGCGUGACGACGAGGCACUACGGUGCUGAAGCAACAAAUGCCCUGCUUCCAGGAAAAGCCUCUAAGCAUCAGGUAACAUCAAAUCGUACCCCAAACCGACACAGGUGGUCAGGUAGAGAAUACCAAGGCGCUUGAGAGAACUCGGGUGAAGGAACUAGGCAAAAUGGUGCCGUAACUUCGGGAGAAGGCACGCUGACACGUAGGUGAAGUGAUUUACUCAUGGAGCUGAAGUCAGUCGAAGAUACCAGCUGGCUGCAACUGUUUAUUAAAAACACAGCACUGUGCAAACACGAAAGUGGACGUAUACGGUGUGACGCCUGCCCGGUGCCGGAAGGUUAAUUGAUGGGGUCAGCGCAAGCGAAGCUCCUGAUCGAAGCCCCGGUAAACGGCGGCCGUAACUAUAACGGUCCUAAGGUAGCGAAAUUCCUUGUCGGGUAAGUUCCGACCUGCACGAAUGGCGUAAUGAUGGCCAGGCUGUCUCCACCCGAGACUCAGUGAAAUUGAACUCGCUGUGAAGAUGCAGUGUACCCGCGGCAAGACGGAAAGACCCCGUGAACCUUUACUAUAGCUUGACACUGAACAUUGAGCCUUGAUGUGUAG